rnacentral:rRNA from 1 species
AUUGAACGCUGGCGGCGUGCCUUACACAUGCAAGUCGAACGGCAGCACGGGGCAACCUGGUGGCGAGUGGCGAACGGGUGAGUAAUGUAUCGGAACGUGCCAUUGAGUGGGGGAUAACGUAGUGAAAGUUACGCUAAUACCGCAUAUACCCUGAGGGGGAAAGCAGGGGAUCGCAAGACCUUGUGCUCUUUGAGCGGCCGAUAUCAGAUUAGCUAGUUGGUGAGGUAAAGGCUCACCAAGGCGACGAUCUGUAGCGGGUCUGAGAGGAUGAUCCGCCACACUGGGACUGAGACACGGCCCAGACUCCUACGGGAGGCAGCAGUGGGGAAUUUUGGACAAUGGGCGCAAGCCUGAUCCAGCCAUGCCGCGUGAGUGAAGAAGGCCUUCGGGUUGUAAAGCUCUUUCGGCCGGGAAGAAAUCGUACAGGUUAAUACCCUGUGUGGAUGACGGUACCGGAAUAAGAAGCACCGGCUAACUACGUGCCAGCCGCCGCCGUAAAAC